CUGCAUCGGCCUCCCGGCGACCGCGCUGCUUUCCCUCAGGCCGCCGCGGCGGCGCCCGCCCGCGCCUCCAUCCGGGUCCUGGCGCGGUGCUCUCCCGGCAGCGACGGGCGCGAGGGCCGGGGCAUUCCCACGGCCGCGACGGCCCUCUCCGCGAGCGCGAGGAUGUACAUGAAGCAUGGCACCAACAGCUGCUCCUGUGAGGCCUCAAGAAGCUUACAAUCGUGGCAGAAGCUGAAGGGGGAGCCAGCGUGUGGCAUGGCAAGGGAAGGAGCAAGAGAGAGAGGGAGGAGCUGCCAGGCUCUUGAACAACCAGAUCUCACGUGAACUCACAGAUUGAAAUUCACUCAUUACUGUGAGGACACACCAAGCCAUUUAUGAGGGAUGCACCCCUAUGACCCAAACACCUCCUACUAGGCCCACCUCCAACAUCAGAGGUCACAUGAAACGAGAUGUAUAGGGGACAAAACAGUCAAACCAUAUCAGUCCCACCAGCAAGAAGGCUCUCACUGGAUGUGGUCCCUUGAUCUUGGACUUCUCAGCCUCUGUAACUGUAAAAAAUAAAUUUUGUUUCU
rnacentral:lncRNA from 1 species